rnacentral:misc_RNA from 1 species
AAUUUAGCUUGAACUGCUACCAUUUGAUAAACAACAAACUAAUAUUGAUCAUACAGACUAAACAAACUUUCUGAAGAGGAAACAUGGCAAUUUCGAUGAUCCAGUGGGCUGAAAAAACCUUGCCAUAAAAGAACUAUGUCAACAUCAACCAAUCGAAAACAAAACCAUGAACCAUGCAGUUUUGGUCCACUUUUUCUUUCUGCAAAAUAUCAAAUAAAGACAACAGAGAGCAUUUUCUUUGAUGGAAGUGUGAAGAUAUAUCAUAUGGGCUAACCGUGUAUUGACGGAAUCAAGCAAAUAAGCUUUAGGAUUCAACAGGAAAAUGAAAGCUAAGUAUCCAAUUUCUUUAAUAAACCUGUGAUAAGGGUUCUGGUUUUGCUUCCUUAAUCUACUUGCAUAACAAGAAUCCAAAGAAGAAGAAAUCAGUCAGGAGGCGAUUCCUACAAGCUGCAUGAGCGUUAAUACUUCUUUAGGGAAUAUUUUAUCAGCUGAUUCCAUAGGAAACACCGUAAAGAAUUCAGAAAUCCAUGGAAAGAACUCGAUCAAGCGAUGAAUCCAAGAACAUGCUAAGCGAUGGAUCCAAGAAUUUGCUGAAGCUAAAAUAUGUAUGCACUGUUUACACCAAGCUGUCAUGUAUAUGCUCCUCUUAUCACAUAAUAAAACAAAAGGAUAUGGGGAAUUCUGGAGUAUUCUCACCAGAAUAAACCAAAUAAAUUUUGAUUUACUUCAGAAUGUCUCGGUGAUUCAAUGUUCAAAUUUCUUUUUUCUUAAUUUACUUUUAUCUGUUUGCAUUGUCCACUAUUGAAGGAGAUUUCACAAAGAACAGUUUUGGCUGCAACAAUUUGUGGGGCACCCCUUAAGAACUAUAGACAGAAUAUUGAUCAUGUUGUGCGAUCCAAACUCAUAUGAACUACUGACCUAGAUCACUGAUAGCAAUGGGCAUUACUUGCUAAAUCAAUAAAUAUAUGACUGAAAUUAAAUUCAUCAAAUUGAAAAAAAAAAUUCCAAAUCCAAUAGUACCUUGCUGCAAUUUGGUCAAUGAAAUGAUCUAUUGAAAUUAGAAACCAUUACCACAUUAGGAGUUGCCAAAAAAAAACACACACACAUUCACCACUUACCACAAACAUCCAACCAGCUGCAGCAAGUGAAUCAAGAAAACAGGAAAAAACAAAGAAAGAAUAUAUAUAUAUAUAUA